rnacentral:lncRNA from 1 species
UUGGAGGAGGUUUGUGGUUGGAUUAAUGCUGUAGCCACAGUUCCAGUUUGGGCAAAGAUGACCCCUAAUAUCACUGACAUUACAAAGGUAUUUCGGCAUGACAUUUUAUAGCAAAGAUGAUAGAUUACUAAAAUGUUACAAAACAUGAUCCGAUUUGGUCAUAAAUUCUCUACAUCAUGCUGCACUCUUUCUGUAUUACUGAAACAUACUCGCAAUUAAAGCAGCAUGGCAUUUUAUAGCAAAGAUGAUAGAUUACUUAAAUGUUCAAAACAUGAUCCAAUUUGGUCAUAACUUCUCCUCUGCAUCAUGCUGUACUCUUUCUGUAUUACUAGAGCAUUCUCGCAAUUAAAGCCAAAAGUAGGGGGGAAUUGCAUUGUGGGGCUUGUAUAUGCUGUUAGUUUUGUGGAAGAUGGAUUGUCCGUCUUUCCUCGCUAGAUCAACCGGAUGACAUGGCAUAAUUUCUUUUUCCAGUCAUUCCAUCUUACAACAUUUGUGACCCUUUACGUGUUUGGAGAUUAAGCUCGGUUUGGUUGCAAGGUCCCUCUAUUGCAGUUUCCAAUCAUAGAAAAAGGAAUAAUGAUAAGUUCUUUACCAAUUUGAAUGAAGUUGAGAAUGAUUUU